AGUUGUUCCUUCUCAAUACAAGGCUAAGUGAGAGAGAAAGAGAAAAGAGAGAGGGUGACAAGAGCCACACUUUUGGACAUGAUCACAGGACUCGAGUAGUGCCUGAAAGGAAACUGAAGAGCUAAUAGAAGUGGAUGCAUCAGUACUAGUCAUAAAAAUAAGGUCUUUAGAUGCUUACAACAUACUGUGAGGUGCAACAAACAUCAGUAGGAGGUAGGUCACCUGUUGGCAAUUUCUUUGUCUGCCUGUCUUUCAGGAGUGUCAUUGUCACCUUUCACACCUCAAAAACCUCUUUCCAUCUGGGUUCUGGUAAGCUGGGCCCUAAUGUCAUCCUCACCCCCAAACACAGGUGGAAACACCACAACCUUGUUUGUGUGUUAGUGUUUAGGAGGAAUCUGUCUUCAG